GAAAGUAAAAAAGGGCGCAUGGCGGAUGCCUUGGCUCUCGGAGGCGAUGAAGGACGUGAUAAGCUGCGAUAAGCUUUGGGGAGGUGCAAAUGACCUUUGAUCCAGAGAUUUCCGAAUGGGACAACCCAAUAUCUUGAAGAGGUAUUAUCCAACGUUGUUGGAGGCUAACGCAGGGAACUGAAACAUCUUAGUACCUGCAGGAAAAGAAAAUAAACAAUGAUUCCCCCAGUAGUGGCGAGCGAACGGGGAACAGCCCAAACCAUCCAUGUUACGGCAUGGGUGGGGUUGUAGGACUACGCCGUUGCAUGAAGACAUCAGAGAAGAACUUUCUGGAAAGAAAGACCAUAGAGCAUGACAGUUGCGUAUUCGAAUGUUGUCGAAGCAUAGUAGUAUCCUGAGUAGCGCGGAGCACGAGGAAUUCUGCGUGAAUCUGCCGGGACCAUCCGGUAAGGCUAAAUACUCCCGAGAGACCGAUAGCGAACCAGUACCGUGAGGGAAAGGUGAAAAGCACUUCGAACAGAAGAGUGAAAUAGUUCCUGAAACCGUGCGCCUACAAGCGGUCGGAGCUCGUUAAUGAGUGACGGCGUGCCUUUUGCAUAAUGAACCUACGAGUUGCCUUUGCCGGCAAGGUUAAGUGUGACGACACACGUAUCCGAAGCGAAAGCGAGUCUGAAGAGGGCGUAUAGUCGGCAGUGGCAGACGCGAAACCAAGUGAUCUACCCUUGGCCAGGUUGAAGGCUGGGUAACACCAGCUGGAGGACCGCACCAAUAAGCGUUGAAAAGCUUCUGGAUGAGCUGAGGGUAGGGGUGAAAGGCUAAUCAAACUUGGAGAUAGCUCGUACUCCCCGAAAUGCAUUUAGGUGCAGCCUUGCGGGUUACUGAUGUGAGGUAGAGCGACUGAUAAGAUGCGAGGGCUUCACCGCCUAUCAAGUCUUGACAAACUCCGAAUGCGCAUCAGUUCUACCGCAGGAGUGAGGGCAUGGGUGCUAAGGUCCGUGCCCGAGAGGAGAAGAAUCCGGACCACCUGCUAAGGUCCCGAAAUGACAGCUAAGUUAAACUAACGAAGUCUGACUGCUAAGACAGCUAGGAUGUUGGCUUGGAAGCAGCCAUUCAUUUAAAGAGUGCGUAACAGCUCACUAGUCGAGGAGUCGGGCGUGGAUAAUAAUCGGGUAUCAAGUUGUCUACCGAAGCAGUGGGAUCAUUGAUAUGAUCGGUAGGGGAGCAUUCCAGUCAGCGUCGAAGGCGUACCGUGAGGUAUUCUGGAGCGUCUGGAAAAGCAAAUGUAGGUAUAAGUAACGAUAAAGGGGGCGGGAAACCCCCUCGCCGAAAGACUAAGGUUUCCUGAUCAACGCUAAUCGGAUCAGGGUCAGUCGGGUCCUAAGGCUCAGCCGAACGGCGAUGCCGAUGGCAGAAACGGUUAAUAUUCCGUUACUACCUUCAGGAGUGACGUGGAGACGCAGUAGUGACAGUGCCGCCAUCUGACGGAAUAGAUGGUUGAAGGGUGUAGGAGUCGAUCAUGGCAGGCAAAUCCACCAUGAGAUCCGAACCUGACAGUAUGCCGCGUCCUUCGGGACAAGGCAAUAGUGCGCGUAAGCAUGCUGCCGAGAAAAUCCGCUAAACUUAAUCCUGGAGGUACCCGUACCGCAAACGGACACACGUAGUCGGGAUGAAUAUUCUAAGGCGCUUGAGUGAUUCACGGUUAAGGAACUAGGCAAACUGACCCUGUAACUUCGGGAUAAAGGGUCCCUACCCUUUUAUGGGAGGGCGCAGAGAAUCGGUCCAGGCAACUGUUUAACAAAAACACAGGGCUGUGCCAAAUCGAAAGAUCCAGUAUACAGCCUGACACCUGCCCGGUGCUGGAAGGUUAAGAGGAGAUGUCAUCGAUAAGAGAAGCGUUGAAUUGAAGCCCCAGUAAACGGCGGCCGUAACUAUAACGGUCCUAAGGUAGCGAAAUUCCUUGUCGGGUAAGUUCCGACCUGCACGAAUGGUGUAAUGAUCUGGACGCUGUCUCAACCGUGAGCU
rnacentral:rRNA from 1 species